rnacentral:rRNA from 1 species
CGCGUAGGCGGCUUGGCAAGUCAAAGGUGAAAUCCCUCGGCCCAACCGAGGAACUGCCUUUGAAACUGCUUGGCUUGAGGCCGGGAGAGGGUAGCGGAAUUCCCAGUGUAGCGGUGAAAUGCGUAGAUAUUGGGAGGAACACCAGUGGCGAAGGCGGCUACCUGGACCGGUUCUGACGCUGAUGCGCGAAAGCGUGGGGAGCAAACAGGAUUAGAUACCCUGGUAGUCCACGCCGUAAACGAUGGGUACUCGGUGUCGCGGGUAUCGACCCCUGCGGUGCCUUAGCUAACGCGUUAAGUACCCCGCCUGGGGAGUACGGUCGCAAGGCUGAA